rnacentral:rRNA from 1 species
AUGUGCAAGCAUCCUUGUGCAAGUCUGUAUCAUCGCUUCCAGAGGCAAAUGAUCAAUCAACGCGCACGCAUGGAAACGGAGACGGGCAUCUGCGACCUUCCAGCGGACUGCCUGGCUCUCGUCGCCUCCCUGACCUCCCCCGGCGACGUGUGCAGGCUGGCCGCCACCGCCCCAGCUCUCCGGGCGGCUGCCAACUUCGACGAGGUCUGGGGGAGCUUCCUGCCGGCGGACUGCGUCAACAUCCUCGCGCGGUCUAGUACUGCCAGUGAGGAGCACCGCCGGGAAGGUGAAACGAAGAAGGAGCUCUUCUGCCGACUAUGCGACUGCCCUGUCCUCCUCGACGGCGGCAAGCUGAGCUUCUCUUUGGACAAGCGUAGCGGGGCCAGGAAGUACAUGAUACCAGCGAAAGCUCUGUGGUACGGGUGGAGUGGCUACCACUACGGAGGACUCGUGUGGUCACGCUGCCACCCUCACUCCAGAUUCCGCGAGGUGGCGGUUCUCUCGUACCUGUGCUGGGUGGACGUGGACGUGACCUUGAACACCAAGAACCUCUCCGGCAUCGAUAGAGGCUAUGCGGCCUAUCUUGUAUACAGGGUGCAUUGGUUGCACGCAGACACGGCUCAGAACCAGAACCAAGAAAAUGCAGGGUCAUCGUCCGCGGCCAUUUGCUAUCAUGAGUGCAACCAUCUCGUGCCGCAGAAGCACUCGCGAUCUCUGUUAUGGGACAGGGGCUGGGAACUCGAUGGAUCACCAUCGCCGUCGAUGUCAGCAGACACAACGGAGAAAAUCCGAAGUCAGAAGCAGCGGCUCAUACCUGAUGGCGUGGGCAUGAGGAGAGAUGGACAAUGGAUAGAGCAAGAGAUUAACAUAGAGUUGGACGAGCAGUGUCUGGAGGGGAAGGAGAGCAAUGUUUCCAUUGAGUUUAGAGGGUUCACUAGGUCACAUAGGUGCCAGAUUAUCAUAGAAGGGAUCGAGAUAAGGCCGAGAGGAAUGGAAAAGUUCAAAUCACGACUAAAUUCAUUAGAUAGAUAA